rnacentral:rRNA from 1 species
UACGGAGGGUGCAAGCGUUAUCCGGAUUUAUUGGGUUUAAAGGGUGCGCAGGCGGAAUGAUUAGUCAGUGGUGAAAUCCUACAGCUCAACUGUAGAACUGCCAUUGAUACUGUCAUUCUUGAGUACAGUUGAAGUAGGCGGAAUGUAUCAUGUAGCGGUGAAAUGCAUAGAUAUGAUACAGAACUCCUAUAGCGAAGGCAGCUUACUAAACUGUAACUGACGCUCAGGCACGAAAGCGUGGGGAGCAAACAGGAUUAGAUACCCGCGUA